UAUGAUAUAUAAAUACCACAGCAUAGCUGUGAUUCUAAAUGCACAUAUGCACAUAAAGAAACAACUUGAAAAUUACCAGCAGCGGCAAUACCAUGUUUUCCACAGCACUAGACUUGUGCAUAGCAAUUUAGAAAUCUCAUGUUACUUGCUGAUGAUAGUAUCAUGGAAUAUUUAAAUGGCACUGCCCAUACCUACAGCCACAUUUUUAGCCUGGUUUGGUCUGGUGCUUUAAAAUCCUGUGUCGUCCUGAAAAAAUGAUUUUCAUGGUCUAGGUGAGUUCCUAUAAGAAUGGUACUUCCUUUCUAGUAUCUUAGAGCUUCGAGACUACUGUUGUUUGACUUUAAAUUACAAAGCUAAGAGUAUCUGAAAUGCUUUCUCUAAAUCCUUUUUUAAUUAAUGAAGUUGAUCAAAAUCGAUAUACCAGAAAGCCAGCAAUUCUACUUUUAAUUACCAGUAUGCCUCUGAAGCCCUAAGUGUUAUUCUUGGAAAUAACAGUCCUGUGUGACAAUGAGGCUAUUUUAAGAUACACUACCUUGUGAAGGCAGCUUCAAAUUAAUUUAACACUAUGAUUAUGAUUACAUAUACAUGUGCACCAAAAGGUACUCAGCUAGACCAACUAUCCUAAUCUUCUAGUACUGCAGUUAUUUAAACUCAUUCCUUUUUAUCUUUCAUGUAAUACAGCUGUUUCCCUAUUGAUACUAUCGUUCUGCUUUUGUAUACUCGUUUUUGACAUUAAUGUUUCUGCUGUCCUAUUUUCUUCUCCACAAGAGUAACUUCCUUUCUUCUGUUUGAUAAAAGCAGAAUGCUGUGACUAAGCAAGUGGAUGAGUUUAAUCACAUACCCAGAAAUAUCAGUUCCAAGGAUUUUUUUUUUAAUGUUAAUUUGAUAAUAUACUUGUUUCUAUGCAUAUUGCAUAUGUUCAAGGACAAAAAAGAUUUCUAAUAAAGAAAGUGGAUUGAACUACACAAAGUGAAAAUUGCUACCAGCUGGAGGGAAGGUGCAGUAAUGGCAACUGGCCAUAAGAAAUGCAGAAACAAUGAAGAGGCAGGUAGCAGGUAUCUGCCCAGAGACAGAUGCCCUUGAACUACAGAAAGCCACAAAGUAGUAAUAAAAGAGACAGGAAAAGAAAGAUAAAUGGAUUUUUCUUUAUAUUCCAAGCAUUACUAUUACAGAAUAAGCACACAGUGGGAAACUGUCAAUAAUCUUCUAGACAAAAGUCAUAGUGAAAAUAUUAAUAAAAAUAUGUACAUUAUUUUAUGACAUCUAUCUAUUCUGGUGGCAUUUCAUAAAAUAGAAAAAACAUCCCAUAUUUGUAACCAAAAAUAUCAUCCAACAGCUUUUAAUAUGAAGUCUAUUUUUUAGCAUAAUCAAAUUCACAGGCUCUGAUUCCAGUUCAUGGAGCAAACAAGGUGUGGUGUCUGUUGCAGGUUAUCAUUUCCCUGGCAAAGCCAGCAAAAUGGAAAACUUACCUCGAGGUCAGUAAAUCCAGUAGUGAUAAUGUAAUUGGAGGUUACUUAAAGGUAAUCAGAAUUCUCUGAGGCCUUUGGUUUCUUAACUAAAAAGUCUGAGCUCUUGGUUGAGGCCCAACUCUGUGCGCAGCGUAGGACUGCUCCAUGAAGACUGGGGCUGAAAAGUGCUUUUUUGAGAGCCUAUAGACCCAGCGUUGUACAUUUUGUACAGCAAGCUUCCAAUGCAGUUUCUGAUAGCUGAGAAGAAAAGAAAACAGACAGAGAACUAGAAGAGGGGAAGGCUCUGCCUUACCAAACAACUGGGAGAGGAAGAGGCUGGGACCGGGCAUGCUGAAUACUAAUUGCCUGUAUGUUGAACAGGAGCUCAAGACAUGAGUAUGUCGACUACAGAGGCUGCAACAGGCAGCAGCCAUCAGCCUGUGCAAUACAGCACAUGAACUCUCUUGUUACCAGCGCUUGAAGACAGACGCCCUUUUUACUCUUGAUCUACACUACCAUGCCAGAGAGUGACCUGAAAUGGCUGAGGCAGGCACUUGCUCUUUUCUGCUGUGUGAUAGCAGCCUGGGGCAGAAAAGUAGGGGUGGUAAUGUCAGACAACCACAGCAAGAUUUACUGCAUUAUGUUUAGCACAGCAUUUAUUUCCAAGUAGUCUGAAUGUGUCAAAGGACACAAAAACUAAAAUUAUGUAGUACCUUAGUCCUGGAAGUAUUCUGAACCCAAAUGCUUCAUUUCCUUCUAAACUAUGUGGGUUAGUUUAGACAACAGAAUUAUUUGCCUAAGAACAUCAGUCUGUGCAGCAGCUCAUCUUUGUGAAAUUUGCUAGUGCCAAGCAAGUUCUUUGCUGAGUUCACAGAGUGCAAAACUCUUCCUGUUGCACUAAGAGGUCAAGAUGGGGGGAAGAGGGGAGGGAAACGUGUCAAAAAUUAUAUUUUUAUACGCAGCCAGCAGUCUGCGAAAAAUGUAAGAUGACAAGAGCAUGCAGUGAUUCACAGUGGCUCCAGGACUUCUUUGGAUUACUGGGAGAAACUUUCAGCUCUGAUUUUUUUGAGCAGCAGGAAAAGUAUUGUUACUGAAGAGUUGUUUUAACCAAAAGAUUAUUCAAGAUAAUUAAAGGGAAAAGCAGCAAACUGGAGAAGAUGCCUUUCCUUAAUCUUCUGUAAUUUCAAAAACAUUGACUCUGGUGACUAUCCAUCCUUUUUAAGUGUAAGACCUUCAAGGUGUUAAGCAUUCUCAACUGCAAUCUCCCAUGGGAAUAUAAAAAAAAAAUGUUUUGCACAUCUCAAGGGAACAAUAGCCAUUUUGCAAAAUCUCAGUUUUAUAUGUAUGCUAAAAUGGAUGAAAUUUGUGAAAUAAUAAUGAGAAUCCUGUCACAUACAACUAAAACUCUUGAAACUUCAUAAAGAAAGUGGGAAGUGCUAUCUUUACCAUACUUCAUGGUACAGUUGGGAUUCAGCAGAAUUUGAAGCAAGAAAGCCUGUAAACAGUUUUGUAAUUUUGAAGGAUACUGCAAAGAUCAUAAAAUAUAAGACUAUUGUUUUAAUAGGUGAAAGAAAAAAGAACUUAUACAAAAAAACCUCAAGGAAUACUUUCCAAAAUUAAGUUCUUAAGAGUAGUUUUGAGAGAGAGAAUAUAUGGAAAAGAAGAUGUAACAAGGAGUUAGAGGGUUAGGAAUGAAGUAAAAUAAAUGUAGUGGAAUACCAGCUAGAAGAAGCUAAUCAACAGUUCUGUAACAUUUUCAAUUUUCCCUAAUCUAGAAGAAAAAAAGAGGAAAGAAAGCAGUGUUUCCAAGGGUACCAUAUUGCAAUGAAUUAAUAUCUCUACCAGUCUGCAUCUGCCUCUUUCUGGGGUUAAUGUUUUUUCUGGUAUAGUGAGAUCUCUUGCUACCCAUUAUGCAGGGCGAAUGGGCCUGGAGCGAACUUUGCUAUAGCAAUGUUAACUAUAGUGCUGAUUUGCCACCUGUGAGCAUAGUUCAGUGAUGGAAUCAUGGUCUUUAGAACAAUCGCAUGUAAGUAUUUCAAAUAGGUGCUACAAAUCAGUAUACAGAUGGUAGCUUCUCUCAGUACUCAACUGUAAUACCACUGUCACAGAACUCAAGUUAUUUCGUACUGCUGUUUGUACAUGAUAAUAGACUUGUGGAGAAAAUAAAGAAGAGCGUGAACAUCUCUAAAUGGAAUGCAAGGCAGGAGGAAGCAGAGAAGCAAACAAAAAGCAAAGACUGAAUAUUUCAUAAAUUACAAAAAUUAUGGGGAAAAAUUAAACCGAUCCUCUAUCUCUUCAAAAAGAUUUGUAGACAAAAUACCUGCACAAUCCAAACUGCAAAAAGACCCACAAAACGUCAACAGCUAAACGCUACUUAAUGUACUCCCGAAGUGCAAGGAUAUGUUAGAAAACAAAAGUAUCAUCCUGCAGAUUGUGGAUGAAACUGUUGAACAUGAAAUAAAGAAUCUAAUUAUGUACCUGUAAUAUGAACAUUCAGCUUAUUGAAUAGCUUACUUGCAGGAAUUCUCUUAAAAUUAAAGUUCACAUUUUAAGACACACAUUAGAGACUGCAAAAAAAUGCAGCAAGGCUUCCACAGUUCAAAGUUUUAAACGAGAAGGGUAAUGAAAUUUGCUUCCAUCAACAUAUGGAUAGAGAAGCCUGAUCUCCAGGUUUCUAAAUGAGGUGGAAUUCAUAUGAAAUGACUGAAACCAGGUUCAAAUUAAAUCCAACAGAAGCUGACCAAGAAGGCUUAUUUUCAAUAAAUGCAUUGUAUGAGGAAGGUGAAACAGUUGAUGGCAUUCAGGUAGGAAACACAUAAAGCCAGACAGUAAGUAGUGCAUUCCAAGAAACAAACAAAAAUAAAAAGCAACAGGUUUUGGACAAGCAUAAUCAAUCUACUGUUUUUCAGAAGAUUAGCUGGCCUGGAAUCUUACUCACUGAAAUCAACAACAAAGUCAUAACAACUUUGGUUAGAGCAGAGUAUCAAAGCCAGAUUCUGUUCCAGAUCAGAAAUGUACCUACUCAAAGUUAUAUUUUUAUUGCGGUAGAAAUACAGAACAUAAUAAAAAUGGGUUUUUUAGACCCCAGCUUAAGUCAGGGAAAAAUUUUAGACCCAAGUUUGGCUGUAGCUACUGCGAGAACUGAAAGAAAUAAGACCACAGAAAUCUUCCAAGAAAAAGAGAAAGAAGAUACAAGGAAAAAAGCAGCUACAUUUCCUCCAGACUUUCUUCAUGACUGCAAGAAAUCUAGUGGCUGCUAGUAUUGCUAUCUGGCUCAAUCAUCUCAAUUUUGUAAGAUAUCUGCUGCAGUAACAGGUGGUGGAGUAACGCUUUUGCUCUCAAAUGUUUCCCUGCGACCCUCAGACGAGGACUCUUUCAAAGACCUGACGGCAAGUUAGGUAAGACAAUGCACUUAUUUGAACAGUGCAGAAAUCUGUGCAAGUAUUGUACAUCCAACGUUUAAAAUGAAUGGCUAGAAUCUUUGCUGGAAAAGCAAAUCUUAAGCAGAACUUAACGCUACCAAGACCCACCAUACCAUAACUAGCAACACCCUCUACUGGGUUUAAAAAAAGGUGAAUCCAACAGGCAUUGGGAGCUGCAAAGUGCAAAGGAUGCAACAAAUCUACAAAUCAUGGCGCUGGAACACCUUACCAGCAAGUGAGCUACCUGGAACACUUGGAGCAACUAGAAAAUAGUGUUUUCCAGAGACUGGUAGGAACUGAAAAGACUUCUUAGCACACAGCAAAAUACUGAGCUGCAUGCUAGAAUCCCAGAGGUUCCUCAGUGAGUUUGCCAUUAUUAUUAUCAAUCAGCAGUAAGAAAAAUAAUACCUUACAGAGGUCAUUUUUCUAUGGCAUAAGCUUUAGAAAGAUUCAAAAUACUCAGGAGAUAAACACAAUUAAUAUAAAGCAGUUGUUUAAAUUGAGAUUAUUUAAUUUUAAAUAUUGUAUUUAUGUCAAUAAAAAUGAAAGCGUAAAACAAAAGUAUCUGGAAUUAAAAAGGACAAUUUUUCUAGGGCCUUAUUCUCUCCUUUAUGGCAUUCUGUAUAUUCAUUCAUUUCUGUGCAAACCAGAAGUAAAACUAAGAUUCUCUACUCAGUAUUUCGGACAGUCAUUUGCACUAAUUUUAUCUAUUAUCUAACAGAUAGUGGUGACAUGACAAAGUGAGAGUUGACCUCUAUUUGCAGAUUACACAAGUAACUUUGUGUGUGUAUAUAUGUGCAUUUUUGAGACAGAAUUUUGCUGCUCAAGACUCAACCGACUGUAUAUUCUUUUGUCUGAAAUAUAGACUCUCAGUUUAAAAUGUAAACCCCAGCUCUCAGCUCUCAGUUUAAAAUGUAAACCCCAAAAUUGCUCAGCUAUUUUGCAGGGAGAAACCCAAUAUUUAAAAAGAGUAGUCAUCAAUAAAUAGUUGCAGAAAGUGUUAAUUAUUAGAGAUGAUUAGGUCCUGAGGAAGUUCAACAUUAAGCAGAAGUUCACAGUGAAUUACUUCUAUUUGAAAUAAUGUUUUUCAAACGCGUGGAUUCUUACGGAAAUCCUACAUUACAUAAGCACUAAGUAUGAUUUUGCAAUAACAUACAAGCAGUGGACAGGAAUUAUAGAGAGCAGAAUCAAUGCUAAAGCUUUGAAAAUAAUUCAUUUAUAUAGCUACCCUACUGUAACUCAUGUGAGGUGAUUCACAGGUAAAACGGAUACAGUAAAGAAAAAUUUGUGACUUACAGAUAAAAAGAAAGUUCAGAACUUGUGCAGUUCAGUGGCUUUGAAGGAUCCCAUUGACAGAUUAAGGUCCUUAAACCAUCAUAGUCAGAUACAACUCUUACGUCUCAUAACUCUCUUAAAAGCAGGUGAGAAGGCUACGUAUCUGCAAAUACCUUUCAACCAUUAACUGCUGGUUAGAUUGAAUAAGGCCAGCCUUCUACACACUGUACUGCUUUCAUACUAGCUCUAUUCACAGCUUAGGUACAUAACAUUUUAUGCUAAUUCCUUAGAACGAAAAUUGAGGGGAAAAAACUGCCACAGUUCCCUGCUGAGCAUGUGAAAUUAAACUGCUGUCUAUUUGUUAAAUUUUAACAUGCAGAGCUGUGCACUGCAAUGACUGCAAAGCCAACAUUCCUUCGGUUCUGCUGCCCUGUUAUGGGACAGGCGCUGCCAAUUGAGUAGUUGAGCAGACAGAUGCAGUAAACUCUUUAGGCGACUUGUCAAGAAAUUAAUCUACUAGGGCUCUACAGCCAUGGUCAAACACUUCAGAAACAGCUGUGAUAGUAAAAGAAAAAACAUCUUAAAACUAAUUCUUUACCAUCCCCAAGUCCCAGCAAGUAAAAUAGACUUCCUGAGCCAGCUGGGAUAGGCUGAACCACAUUCAACAACAGUUAAAGAUGACUGAAUUUGCUAUGCCACUAGGUCUAUGUUGGAAGGUACCUGCAGUCCAGUUGUGUUAAGGCCUCUCAGGAGAGGGAACAUACCCAACAGCUGCGGAGCGGUUGGCAGAGAUGGGCUAUGGGAGAAAGUAGGCAAUGGAAUUCUCAAAAAUUUUUCUGUUGCAACCUCGCAAGCAGAGAUCAUAGCAGGAGUUAAAUCUGAAAGGGUUAAAACUUGGUUAAAUAUGUAGAUUUUCAUGCACAUAACAAAAAGCAUAUGCUCAACAGACAGGCCACUUUCUUGCCAACAUCAAAACUCUCUUCCAAGCCUUUGGGUCAUUCCAGCAUUUCAAAGGAAAAAGUUGCCAGAUCUUUGUUUUUUAAUGAGGACAAUAUAGCACAUUGUCCCCUUGCCUAAUUUUAAAUUAAAAUUGUUUAUCAUGUUUAUACACUAUAAUCAGAAAACAUUUCUGUUUUAAGUUCUCUUAUUUGUGAUAGUUAAUGUAUUAUUAAUGUAAAUCAUUCUACAAAUAAAGAGUGGGUCAAAGUUUGUUCUCCAAGUUUCACGGUUUCUUUUUAAAUAAAUGAAUCUUCAAAACUUAACUAAAGCAUCCUGCAGAAAUGGCAAGGGCAUUCAUCACUGCCUUUGAUUAUUUGGUUUUCAUGGCACAAAUGCUAUUUUUGUAAAGGAUUGCUAUAGUAUUCAGAAUUAGCCAGACUAAAUCCCAUACUUUAUUGCACCUGGAUAUUGAGUGAAGCAACAUAAUUUUCAGCAAGCAAUACUUAUUUAGAAUAUUGAAAUGGUGAGACUUUACAAGGUGCCAUUAAUCCUACACAAUCUGAGGCUUAAAAUUUCUUUUACUGUUAAUUGUAUUCUUCAUAUGCAAGAAAUACUCUUAACGUUAUGGGAUUACAAGCAGAAAUACCACAACAUUGACCUGUGUAAAAUUAGAACGCUUUUAGAAUUUCCUCUUACUAAGUUUCUAAAUGCUCUACUGUACAUUACUUAGCAUUCUUCAGUUUUUGAAACCUAGUAAAUCAUUUGCUAUCUGAAAAGUUUUUAACUAUAUGAGCUUUAACUGACGAGUUCAUAUGUACAUCAGUCAGGAGAAACGCAAGUAAAGAAUUUGAUUUGAAAACAGUGAGUAUGAUACUGAAAGUGAGGUUUUGAGGUUUGCUGUUGAAGCUAAGCCAAUAUGUUGACCAGGUGGUAUUCAUAUCAUAAUAGGUUUCCCUUGCCUCUGGCCACAAGUUUCCACCUCCUACCUUGUGAACCGGUAUCAGUGCUUCUCUGACCCUCUACAGUAAGUUCAGUGAGUGAACCAAACAAAAGAUUAUCCUUACAAAAAAGGAAAAUCAUCUUCUGCCAGAUUAGUUCCCUGAACUAUCAUAGGAGAGGGGCAAGAACCUGGAGGUCAAGAAGACAGUUCUCGUCAGGAGUAGCUCUCAGAUUAGUUUAGCCAGAUAAGCAAACUGCACGCUGAGAGUACCACAAAACCAAGCAGAAGUGAUGUAGCACUAAUGCUUUUACAGAAAGUUUACUGUAUGCACAUCAAAAAAUAUGGAUGAUGUUAUUUCUGUCUUUAAAUUGUAGCAGAAAAAAGAGACAUUUGGGGUUAAGGGGUGACAAAAGCCAAAACUAUGCUUCUAAGUCUUUGGUCUUUUAUGUGGCUGGAUUAUUAAUACAACUACAAAGUAUUAUCAAAUAAGACUCAGUCUCAUUACCGUGAGUCAUGAAAAAGCAGCAAAUAUAGCAUACAGAAAUAAAUUAUUCUUAAUGUAUCAAGAAAUAAUCAACAAGGCUUUGUGCGGCUAUGAUGUGCUAAAUGUGAUUUUUUUUUAACUACUAAAAUAAUACUUUAAAAUUAUAGAAUUUAAUUUGAAACGGACCACUGAAAGCCUCUAAUCCAACCUCCUGCUCAACAUUUGACUAACUUUUAAGUUAGAGCAGGUUGCUCUGCGGGUUAUCUGGUAAAAUUUAGAUUCCACCCACCCCAGCCUUCUUCAGGUUGAACCAACUCUGUUCCCUCAGCGGGGGAAUCAUCUUGGUGGUCCUCUGCUGGUCCCUCACCAGUUUGUUUGUCUCUCUGGGGGUACAAAAACUGGACAUAGUAGUCCAGAUGCAGUCUCACAGGUGCUGGUGAGAGAUGAAUAAUUACUUAACCAGUCAGUUGGCAAAACUCUUGCUAACGCAGUCUGGUAUGUAGUUAGUGCUCAUUGCUGCAAGGGCACACUGCUGACUCAGGUUCUACUUGUUUUCUACUGGGAUGCCCAGUCCUUUUCUGCAGAGCUGACGCCUAGCCAGUCAGUCUGGCUCUUCCAUUUCUUAAGAUUAUUCCACCCAGGUGCAAGACUUUACGUUUGUAUUUGUUGGAUUUCGUUACGCUCCUGUCAGCCCAUUCCUUCAGCUUGUCAAGGUCUGUGUGAAUGCCAGGCCUGCCCUUCUGUGCAUUCACCACACCUCUUCAGUUUGACCUCAUUUACGAACUUGUUGAUGCUUCAUCGCACCUCACUGUUCAGAUUGCUGCAGAUGUUAAAAAGAAGCAGCCCUAUACUGAUCACCGUGAACUGCCACUUAAAACUGGCUGCCAGUCAGAUUUUAAAGCAUUCACUUGGUGAAGUGAAGGUAAUUAAUAUCCACUGCUCUCUUCUCCUCCACAGAACCUGACAGUUCACCACAGAAGCCAGUUAGGUUGUCAGACCUGAGCCACUUUGCCUUCUGAGAACUGUAUACAGUCCCUCAUAAAGCUUUGUAUACGCUGAUUAUUUUAAUACCAUGCAGUCCAAUAAACAACAACCAGAAAAUGAGUUUGAGAUAGAUUAUAGAAAAUGUUAUGACUAUACCUUUAUAGCCUUCUUAUCAGUUUGCCUUAUGUAUGUCAGUCAGUAUGUCUGAAUAGUUUAUAAGAAAUUGGGGGAAAAAUUAUGGAAUUGGCUUUUGUUGCAUCAGUGUUUCUUGUGAUCCUGAUUCAUAUAUAAUGUGAGGUUCUACUCAGAGAAGUACUACCUGCAUCUCUUUAUGAUUUGUAUAAAGCAGCUGCCUUUGUAACUAACCCCUUUUAUAGUAUGUGGUGUGUCAAUUCUCAUUUUUCAUAUUGUAGUCCACUCUGAUACCUGUUUACAUAGUCUGUAUAUAAGAAGCACUCAAGUAAACAGCACUGUGUGAAAUGUAAACUGCCACCAGUACAGCUCAUAAGAAAAAUACUCAAACUGUUAAGAAAAUACAUUUGAAACUAUGCACAUGUCACAAUGUGGGAGACCUAUCUAUGUACAAAACAUGAAUCCCCAUUGCGGUUAUGAAAUUGCUGUAUCAUUAAAUACCUCAGAGGAUGUGAAGUCAACCAUAUGCUGUCAGGGCUGAGUCAUACGUGUCUCAGCCAUGGGACUGUGGGAGAUGUCCCACCCUAGUGGCUCCUACUCAAGAGGGAAAAAAUUAGGACAACGAAGUGCCUGAGCCAGACAGCAAUCAAUUCACCCAAACUCUUCCAGCAAGGCCAUGUUUUGGAGCUGUGGAAUUUCCCCAAAAGCUGAAAGCAAGAUCACAUGUUACGACCAGACCCCAAAAACUACAGAACUCACAGCUUUGGGAAAUGCCGUGAAUCACAGAUUGACAGAAGACUUGCGCAGGGAAGAGGAACAGAGAGGCAUGAUUUCCUUACCGUGGGCCAGCCAAGUGAGAAGAAAACUAACUUCAGAAUACAGACACAGACAUGCAUGCAAUGUAAUUUAGAAAAGUUAUGUACAGAAAUGGAUGGCGCAGAGGGCACAGACUAAGCCCAAAAUGAUGUUCAGAACUGAGGAGGGGAAGUACAUACUGUGUGUUUAGUGCUUUCUCAUCUGUAUGAUAUUUUGUGCGAGGUAAUGCAAGGAGUCAUCGAUUUUAUGGAAUUUUUACAAUACCUGUAAAGAAACCAGAGUGAAACCCGGACAAAAAAGUAAACCAGAGGGAAACCUUCUUCUGUCUCCAACUCAGAUGAAGCAAAGCAUAAAGGUAUAUGGGCUUAGUGAGAUAAACGUGAAACAAAGCAAUCCAGUCAGCUUCCAGCUAAUGGAACAUUAACAGGGCUGUGACACACCUGUGUUUCUUCUCAGAAUCUCAACUUGGAAAAUCACAGGUCCGUUGUCCAGUCUUCACCCUUAAUAAAAAUCAGCAUAGUUAUGAUGAUUUUAGCAAAAACUCUAUGCAAUUAUACUUCAAAAAUGGCUCUUUAUUGCUUCAGCGUGUCAUUCACUAGUCAAAUAAAUUUGCCAAAAUUUGAGUUAUUAUUCAUUUCUUUAUCUGGAAACACCAGAGGGAGAUUUCCUGCCUGAGAUAAAUGCUUGUUCUUGAUGAAAACGCAUGUUGUUCAGACCUUUGUAAAAUUACACAAUAGCUACUAAACCGCAGUUUCAAACCAUUUGUAGAUUGUACAGAGAAUGAGGUCUCCAGAAGAUACGGACAGCAUUCACAGCUUUUUCCCAACAUUGUAGGUAACUGAUUCUGUCCUUGACUUCCUUACUCAUAAGUAUUAUUUGACUCUCACUUUUCAGAAGAGUCAUAUGCAUUUUUAAUAUUUUCAGCCCCUCCUCAUUAUUAUGUGAUCUUAAGAUAGAAGUAUCAGGCUGCAUUGUCUUAUACUGCCUUCUUAUUUUCUGGGCAGAGAACCACAAGCAGAAACUUUGGAAAUCACACAUUAGCACAAUGUUCAAGUUAAACUAUGUCCAAAUAGCUUUGACUGCCAUGCACAUCAAAGCACUGGCAAGUCAUCCUGCAGUAUUCUUCCAAGCUUUGAUUGAUUUCCACUGUGGUGAAUCACGACCAUAAAAGAAGCUGUGUGAAUACUUUUUUUCCCCCUCCAUGCAGGAAACAAUAAAACAUCAAUAAAAAAUAAAGUCAAAAGAGAACUACAGAAGUGUUCUUCAGCGAGAUCUAAGUGGCCAGUUUUUUCCACCUGGGACAUACAGUUAAAACAUUUGUUAAUACAGAAGCACAGUCUGCUCACUGUGACUCACAUGCUAAAAUUUCAGGUACAGAUUUAACCCACUCCUAACUCUUUGCCACAUGACUAGGCGUGAAUCUCUUUAGUUUGGUGUAACUCACCCCAGAGCAUUCCAUCCUCUCUAGGAGAUCUACAAUGGACUUAUUACUUAGAGCAAAUUUUAAGAUAUGUCAAAAUCCUUGUCACUUAGCUCACGGAAAAUUCAACAUUUUAUAAGAUUAGAUAUCAAAGUUAAUGAAGGAAGUAUUGAUGUAUAUAAUUAGUCUUAUCACAACUUCUAAUACAGAGAUUUUGAAAUCUUUGCCUUUCUUUUAGAAGUUAUUUCAAUGACUGUCAGUGGAUUCACAGUAAAAGAGAAGAUCUGACUAUCCUCAAACAAAACAUAGACAUCUUGGGAUCCAGAUUUUAGAAAACAAACCAUUAUUUAAAUUGCAUGGAAAAAGACAUCUGUUUGCAAAAUCUUGGUAAAAUACUUUUUUCUCUAGAAGCAUUUCCUCUACAGCACUUUACUUACUUGCUUACAGAUUUAAACGUGUUUUUGAUCCCAGCUAUAUAAAGAAAUGUACUUCUCUCAGUGUAGGAGAUGCUCUUUCAAAUCCCAAUAUUAUGUCCCUUUCUUUAAGAAAAAAAAAAGAGCUAAAAUAUAUAUAAAGCAUAUAUUCAUAUAGUUAUAGUAAAACAGUCUAGGCCUGCUUACAGUGCUCAGAAUAGUACAGCAUACAUUUUAAAUUUUUUUCUUUAGUAAGAUUAUUUGAGUAUAAAUCUGAAUUAGAGGCUUGAACCUCAAGGGAGAAAAAGGAGGAAAAGCAAAGCUCAGUGAAAUACAAAGGGCAGAUAUCCUUUGGAUACAGUUGUAUGUGCUCGUUUAGGGGAAAAAAAAAAAAACCCUGCACCCCGGGAUGGCAAACGCAACAUCUGAGAUGAAAAUCUUUCACCAAAUUAUGACUUUUGUUUACCAAAAGCAACUGCAGCAACUACUGUACUAACUUUUAAAAAACAUAUCUUAAAGAUCAGCUAGUCAAAAGCAGGCAUGAAAAUAUUAGGAAGUUCAAGAUUUUUGUGCAGCCUUAGAUUUCACCUUCUUUGUCCAGUCUAUUGAGUAAAAUGAAUACAAUAGGGAUUUUUUUGAAAAUGUAAUUAGAGAUUGUACCACAGUGAAUACGCAUUGGGCCCCCUCCCUCUUUUUACUUGCUUUAAAAACCCUGAAAAAUUUUGCAUUAUAGCUUUACAACUUACCCAACUGUACUUCUUUGGGCUAAGUAAUCAGCUAGUGUUAGGGAUUUUGAGUGACUGUUUCUAUUGAGAGAAUAAGUGAUGACAGAAAAAAGAAAUUCCAGAACUCCUAC